rnacentral:rRNA from 1 species
UACGGAGGAUGCGAGCGUUAUCCGGAUUUAUUUGGUUUAAAGGGUGCGCAGGCGGCACGGCAAGCCGGCGGUCAAAUCGCGGGGCUCAACCCCGCCCAGCCGUCGGAACUGCCGGGCUAGAGUGGGCGAGAAGUGCGCGGAAUGCGUGGUGUAGCGGUGAAAUGCAUAGAUAUCACGCAGAACUCCGAUUGCGAAGGCAGCGCACCGGCGCCCUACUGACGCUCAGGCACGAAAGCGUGGGUAUCGAACAGG